rnacentral:rRNA from 1 species
UGUUYUYUAAAUAGGGACUUGUAUGAAUGGCCMCMCGAGGGUUUUACUGUCUCUUACUUCCAAUCAGUGAAAUUGACCUUCCCGUGAAGAGGCGGGAAUAUAUUAAUAAGACGAGAAGACCCUAUGGAGCUUUAACUACUUAGCCCAAAAGAAACAAAUUUCAUUACUAAGGAAACAACAACACUCUUUAUGGGCUAACAGCUUUGGUUGGGGUGACCUCGGAGAACAAGAAAUCCUCCGAGCGAUUUUAAAGACUAGACCUACAAGUCGAAUCACACAAUCGUUUAUUGAUCCAAAAAAAAAAUUGAUCAACGGAACAAGUUACCCUAGGGAUAACAGCGCAAUCCUAUUCAAGAGUCCAUAUCGACAAUAGGGUUUACGACCUCGAUGUUGGAUCAGGACAUCCCGAUGGKGCAACCGCUAUCAAAGGUUCGUUUGUUCAACGAUUAAAGU